rnacentral:rRNA from 1 species
UGCCAGCCGCCGCGGUAAUACGAAUGGUGCAAGCGUUGUUCGGAAUCACUUGGCAUAAAGCGCGCGUAGGCGGUGGCGUAAGUCAGCUGUGAAAUCCCUCGGCUCAACCGAGGAACUGCAGCUGAAACUGCGCUGCUAGAGGGCGGGAGGGGAGAACGGAAUUCCUGGUGGAGCGGUGAAAUGCGUAGAUAUCAGGAGGAACGCCGGAGGCGAAAGCGGUUCUCUGGCCCGCAACUGACGCUGAGGUGCGAAAGCUAGGGGAGCAAACAGGAUUAGAUA